GCUGAACGAAAACAACUUAUAUAUCCGUUCUGAACUGAAGUUCGUGAACUGUUAUCUUAAAGACCUUCAAUUAAAGGUGAAACCUAUCCUAGACCUGGCUUACGCUCCAUAAAAAUACCAAGAAUCCAGAGAUUUCGCCAACCAACCUGCAACCAUGGGAUAAUUAUAGAUAAUCAAGUUGGCCUUGGUAAACUGUCAUGUCAUUCGAAGCCAGUUUAAAAAUAUAUUUCAUUUGACGAUGAACGGGAGAAGGAUUUACAAGCUGAGCGAAAACAACUUCGAUAUCCGUUCUGAACUGAAGUUUGCGAACAGUUUUCUUAAAGACCUUCAAUUGAAGGUGGAUCCUAUCCUAGACCUGGCUUACGAUUCGUGGUCAUAGCUCCAUAAAAAUACCAAGAAUCCAGAGAUUUCGCCAACCAACAUGCAAUCCUGAGACAAUUAUAGAUAAUCAAGUUGGCCUUGGCAAACUGUCAUGUCAUUCGAAGCCAGUUUAAAAAUAUUUCAUUUGACGAUGGACGGCAGAAGGAUUUACAAGCUGAACGAAAACAACUUAGAUAUCCGUUCUGAACUGAAGUUCGCGAACAGUUUUCUUAAAGACCUUCAAUUAAAGGUGAAACCUAUCCUAGACCUGGCUUACGAUAAUCAAGUUGGCCUGGGCAAACUGUCAUGUCAUUCGAAGCCACUAGAAAAAUACAUUUCAUUUGACGAUGGACGGGAGAAGGAUUUACAAGCUGAGCGAAAACAACCUGGAUAUCCGUUCUAAACUGAAGUUCGCGAACAGUUUUCUUAAAGACCUUCAAUUGAAGGUGGAUCCUAUCCUAGACCUGG